rnacentral:rRNA from 1 species
UUCGGAUUGGAGUCUGCAACCCGACUCCAUGAAGCUGGAUUCGCUAGUAAUCGCGCAUCAGCCACGGCGCGGUGAAUACGUUCCCGGGCCUUGUACACACCGCCCGUCAAGCCAUGGAAGCCCGGGGGGUGCCUGAAGUGCGCUGCCGCAAGGAGCGCCCUAGGGUAAAACCGGUGACUGGGGCUAAGUCGUAACAAGGUACC